GGGGGCGUUCAUGGGAUUCGACGGGGAUCGAUCGAGCGUCGGCAGCGAGCCGAGGGGCUGCGACCUUCGUCAAAAACGCAGGUUGCCAAAUGUAACUGGCAAACAAGAAAACUACGCUCUGGCUGCUUAAUUCCAGCCAGGAUCCGCUUCACCGUCGCCCGUGCGGUGUUGCCGGGUCUCAAAGCUAGCGGGCUAGCCGACCGAAGUCGCCGCCGGUCGGAAGGCGAAAUUCAGGCGGCUGGCCGGAUGGAAGGCCUGUCACUGGGCAGUCCAUGCGGCGAGACUUAAUACAGUGACUGCGCUCGGAGAAACCGGCGUGGCGAGGUCUCCGGACAGCGGUUCGACUCCGCUCGCCUCCACCA
rnacentral:tmRNA from 1 species